rnacentral:rRNA from 1 species
GAUGAACGCUGGCGGCGUGCCUAACACAUGCAAGUCGAACGGAAACACGGUAAGGUCGUGCUCUUAAGGGUAGCGGCGGGCGGCCGGGUGACACAUAGAUCACCUCCCUCUUAUACGUGGAUGAUAUCGUGGAGAAGCAUCGAAUACUACCGCAUAUCACCUACGGGUGGGUGCAGUGGUUAUUCGGGUCUUUGUUGGUUCGUUGAGCUGAUGGCGGAUUAGAUAGUUGGGUGGGUAAAGGCCUACCAAGGCGACGAUUCGUUGCUUGACUGAGAGGAUGAUCGGCCACACUGGAACUGAGACACGGUCCAGACUCCUACGGGAGGCAGCAGUAGGGAAUAGUGGGCAAUGGGCGGAAGCCUGACGCAGCCAGACCGCGUGGGUGAAGAAGGCCUUCGGGUUGUAAAGCCCUUUUGUUGGGAAAGAAAAGAUGUAGGUUAAUACAAAGCUGUAGUGACGGUACCUAAAGAAAAAGCACCGGCUAACUACGUG